AUGAACGCUGGCGGCGUGCCUAAUACAUGCCAGUCGAGCGAACAGACGAGGAGCUUGCUCCUCUGACGUUAGCGGCGGACGGGUGAGUAACACGUGGAUAACCUACCUAUAAGACUGGGAUAACUUCGGGAAACCGGAGCUAAUACCGGAUAAUAUAUUGAACCGCAUGGUUCAAUAGUGAAAGACGGUUUUGCUGUCACUUAUAGAUGGAUCCGCGCCGCAUUAGCUAGUUGGUAAGGUAACGGCUUACCAAGGCAACGAUGCGUAGCCGACCUGAGAGGGUGAUCGGCCACACUGGAACUGAGGCACGGUCCAGACUCCUACGGGAGGCAGCAGUAGGGAAUCUUCCGCAAUGGGCGAAAGCCUGACGGAGCAACGCCGCGUGAGUGAUGAAGGUCUUCGGAUCGUAAAACUCUGUUAUUAGGGAAGAACAAAUGUGUAAGUAACUAUGCACGUCUUGACGGUACCUAAUCAGAAAGCCACGGCUAACUACGUG
rnacentral:rRNA from 1 species